UACGUAGGGUGCGAGCGUUAAUCGGAAUUACUGGGCGUAAAGUGUGCGCAGGCGGCCGAGCAAGUCGAGUGUGAAAGCCCCGGGCUUAACUUGGGAAUUGCGCUCGAAACUACUUGGCUGGAGUGUGGCAGAGGAAGGUGGAAUUCCAGGUGUAGCGGUGAAAUGCGUAGAGAUCUGGAGGAACACCCGUAGCGAAGGCGGCACUCUGGGCCGAUACUGACACUGAGGAGCGAAAGCGUGGGGAGCGAACAGG
rnacentral:rRNA from 1 species